rnacentral:rRNA from 1 species
CCUACGGGUGGCUGCAAUUAGGAAUCUUGCACAAUGGGGGAAACCCUGAUGCAGCGACGUCGCGUGAAGGAUGACGGAUUUCGGUCUGUAAACUUCUUUUAACGAGGAAGAAGAAUGUGACGGUACUCGUUGAAUAAGCCCCGGCUAACUACGUGCCAGCAGCCGCGGUAAUACGUAGGGGGCGAGCGUUGUCCGAAGUUACUGGGCGUAAAGCGCGCGUAGGCGGUUUGUUAAGUCUGGGGUGAAAGGUUCAACGCUCAACGUGAACAGUGCCU